rnacentral:lncRNA from 1 species
AAUACAUGUACCUCAAUAAUUUUAUCAAGGGCAUGUUUUGUGCUAGAUACUACUCUUUAUGUUAGGAAUAUAAGCAAUUGUAUAAGAUACUUACAGAUUGCAGUAAGUGGUAAAAAAUAUAACAUGAAGAGGGAAUAGUGAUGAGAAGGUAACUAUAUAGGGGAGUGGUCAGGGAGUGCUUCACUGAAGAUGUAAAAUAUGAACUGAAACCUAUAUCCUGAUUUAAAAUAGCUUUGCAGAUGUUUUAGGUAAAUAGCAGCAAGCGAACAAUACCAAAGUUUUUAUUUUUGUAAUUUGAAAUCAAUGUGCAAGCCAGAGCUUCUUUAGGAAAGACCAUUCCUGAGAGAACAACAGGAAGAAAUAUGAAUGUUAAACAUGUGGUGCCGUGUGGAAGCAAAGCUCCAUAAUUAAUCUAUAGAGCCAUCACCACUGUCAAAAGCAGAAAGGCCCCAGAGGAAAUAAUUUUUGUAUAGAAUGAUGGCAGCAUUAGUGACAGCAGUAAUGAUAAGACACUGAAAAAGGGAAUCAGAGCUAUUUCCAUGAAUUAAUGUCUUAAUCCCCACAACAAUGAGGUCGUGGUCAUCUAGUUGUAGAAUGACUCCUGCCUGCUACAUUUCCCCAGAUACCCAGGACCUUCAUGCUGUCACUCUCCAUGACCUGACCAACAUCUAUUUUGAGAAAUUAUUUUAUAUACUCAUUCAAACAGGUUACUUAUUGGUUAUUUAGAAAUUCUGGAUAAAGACUCACAAGUCAAGCGGGGGUGAUGGAAGAUAUUGAAAUGUCUCCCCGUGGCAUAUUCAGUGAAGAAAGUCACUACAUGUUGACAGAUUCCAGUAACCAUUGCUGUGCUGUAAAAAUUGGUUUCACUUACCUAGAAAAGGAAAACAAGAAUAGG